AAAUCUUACCGGGUCCGGACACACUGAGGAUUGACAGGCAAUAUCUAAAUCGUUUAUAAUAAUUCCUAUUAUAAUACGCUUUUAGUGUUAAAUAUGCUAGUCCUUUCAUGAUUAUGUGAUAGGUGGUGCAUGGCCGUUCUUAGUUCGUGGAGUGAUCUGUCUGCUUAAUUGCGUUUCACUAAGGGCCCAUAAAUUCAAGGUAUGUUAGCUAUCGUUUCUCAAUUGACCCCUUGUCUUCGAUAAGCGCGUGUCUUUUAGAGUUUAAACAUUGCGCAUGCUGUUGGGUCCUGAAAGCAACGAACGUGACCGCAACGUCUUAUUGCCUUUAUCUUGCUAUAUUUUAAUUUAAUUAAAAAUAGCUAACAGAGGCUAAUUUAAAAUUAGACGGACCGCUGUACUUUUCUUAAACCAGAGGAAGGUUGCGGCAAUAACAGGUCUG
rnacentral:rRNA from 1 species